AUCUGGUUGAUCCUGCCAGUAGUCAUAUGCUUGUCUAAAAGAUUAAGCCAUGCAAGUGCGAGUGAUUCGGAGCAUCACUCUUUGUAAAAGGAGGGGGAAGGCUCAGGAUGACUGCGAAAGGCUCAUUAAAACAGUUAUGGAUCUGGAUGGUCAGAAGAAAACGGAGAGGAUAAGGGUGUGAAAAUAGAGCUAAAACGAGGGAGGGGGAUCUUGAUUCGUUUAAUAGAUGAAGAAGGGAUUUCUAGAAUUUCAUAGAGAUAUGAGAGGGAGCAUGUGAAUAUUUGACCUAUCAACUGGGGAUGGUAGUAUAGGGGACUACGAUGGUGGUGACGGGUGACGGAGGAUUAGGGUUUGAAACCGGAGAGGGGGCCUGAGAGAUGGCCACCACUUCUAAGGAAGGCAGCAGGCGCGAAAAUUACCCAAUGUUGGAACAGUGAGGUAGUGACAAGGAAUAACUGGCUUCUUUCCACAAGGAAGGAAGAUGGUAAUGGAAGGAGGUUAGAGAGGUUCUUGAGUAACGCUCAGAGGGAAAGUCUGGUGCCAGCAG
rnacentral:rRNA from 14 species